GAAAAAAAAUUAGGCAAGCUCUGGCCUUUCUCCCUAGAUCGUGUAUUUUGGUGAGAUGGUUAGUUUAUAGUGGAUACUCAUGAAUGGAUCACAAGAGAAGACAAUGAAUCAUCCAUUUUUAGCUAAUCUACGCAUCACAAUUCACAAACUCAAUCUCCCUGCUAACAUAUUGGUGCAGAAUCUGGUUAUGGUGAUGUUUAAGUAGGUUACGGUGAUGAGUUAGUUAAGGAAAAAGAAGAUUCCAAGCUAUUGUUCUUGAGAGGUGGAUGUUGAUGGAAGAAGUUUCAUUUCAUAUGAGUAGAUCUUGAUACCUUCUUUGUCGGAGCUGCACCAAAUCGGAUCUAUCUUAAUUCAGGAUGAAGUCAUAUGUCAGAUGUGGUCCGCUGCAAAAUCUGGAAAAGAGAAUGUUUUUUGAUGAUGGAGAUGAAUGAGAAACGAAAAAGAGACAGAACUUACAAUUUUUAUAUUGUGGA